rnacentral:rRNA from 1 species
UACGAAGGGGGCGAGCGUUGUUCGGAUUUACUGGGCGUAAAGGGCGCGCAGGCGGCUCAUUUUGUCAGGCGUGAAAGCCCCGGGCUUAACCUGGGAGGUGCGUUUGAUACGGAUGGGCUAGAGUUCGGGAGAGGAGAGUGGAAUUCCCAGUGUAGAGGUGAAAUUCGUAGAUAUUGGGAAGAACACCGGUGGCGAAGGCGGCGACCUGGUCCGAUACUGACGCUGAGGCGCGAAAGCGUGGGGAGCAAACAGG